rnacentral:rRNA from 1 species
UACGAAGGGGGCUAGCGUUGUUCGGAAUUACUGGGCGUAAAGCGCGCGCAGGCGGUCUUCCAAGUCAGUGGUGAAAUCCCGGGGCUCAACCCCGGAACUGCCUUUGAUACUGGGUAUCUGGAGGUCGAGAGAGGCGAGUGGAAUUCCGAGUGUAGAGGUGAAAUUCGUAGAUAUUCGGAGGAACACCAGUGGCGAAGGCGGCUCGCUGGCUCGAUACUGACGCUGAGGUGCGAAAGCGUGGGGAGCAAACAGG